rnacentral:rRNA from 1 species
UUCAUGGAGAGUUUGAUCCUGGCUCAGGACGAACGCUGGCGGCGUGCCUAAUACAUGCAAGUCGAGCGGGUGAACCUGACAGAUUCCUUCGGGAUGACGUCAGUGGAUCCAGCGGCGAACGGGUGAGUAACACGUGGGCAACCUGCCCCUCAGACUGGGAUAACAUCGAGAAAUCGGUGCUAAUACCGGAUAAUUUUCGGGAUCGCAUGAUCCCGUUAUAAAAGAUGGCUCCGGCUAUCACUGGGGGAUGGGCCCGCGGCGCAUUAGCUAGUUGGUGAGGUAGAGGCUCACCAAGGCGACGAUGCGUAGCCGACCUGAGAGGGUGAUCGGCCACACUGGGACUGAGACACGGCCCAGA